GACGGGGGAUGCAAGCGGUAUCCGGGCUCACUGGGCGUAAAGCGUCUGUCGGUGGUGAUGCAAGUCACUGGUGCAAAACUCUGGCUCAACCGGAGGAAAGCCAGUGAAACUGCAUGACUAGAGUGUGGGAGAGGUAGAAGGAAUUCCCUGAGUAGCGGUGAAAUGCGUAGAUACAGGGAAGAACACCGGAGGCGAAAGCGUUCUACUGGAACACAACUGACACUGAGAGACGAAAGCUAGGGGAGCGAAUGGG
rnacentral:rRNA from 1 species